UAACUGGAGGACCGAACCGACUAAUGUUGAAAAAUUAGCGGAUGACUUGUGGCUGGGGGUGAAAGGCCAAUCAAACCGGGAGAUAGCUGGUUCUCCCCGAAAGCUAUUUAGGUAGCGCCUCGUGAAUUCAUCUCCGGGGGUAGAGCACUGUUUCGGCAAGGGGGUCAUCCCGACUUACCAACCCGAUGCAAACUGCGAAUACCGGAGAAUGUUAUCACGGGAGACACACGGCGGGUGCUAACGUCCGUCGUGAAGAGGGAAACAACCCAGACCGCCAGCUAAGGUCCCAAAGUCAUGGUUAAGUGGGAAACGAUGUGGGAAGGCCCAGACAGCCAGGAUGUUGGCUUAGAAGCAGCCAUCAUUUAAAGAAAGCGUAAUAGCUCACUGGUCGAGUCGGCCUGCGCGGAAGAUGUAACGGGGCUAAACCAUGCACCGAAGCUGCGGCAGCGACGCUUAUGCGUUGUUGGGUAGGGGAGCGUUCUGUAAGCCUGUGAAGGUGUACUGUGAGGUAUGCUGGAGGUAUCAGAAGUGCGAAUGCUGACAUAAGUAACGAUAAAGCGGGUGAAAAGCCCGCUCGCCGGAAGACCAAGGGUUCCUGUCCAACGUUAAUCGGGGCAGGGUGAGUCGACCCCUAAGGCGAGGCCGAAAGGCGUAGUCGAUGGGAAACAGGUUAAUAUUCCUGUACUUGGUGUUACUGCGAAGGGGGGACGGAGAAGGCUAUGUUGGCCGGGCGACGGUUGUCCCGGUUUAAGCGUGUAGGCUGGUUUUCCAGGCAAAUCCGGAAAAUCAAGGCUGAGGCGUGAUGACGAGGCACUACGGUGCUGAAGCAACAAAUGCCCUGCUUCCAGGAAAAGCCUCUAAGCAUCAGGUAACAUCAAAUCGUACCCCAAACCGACACAGGUGGUCAGGUAGAGAAUACCAAGGCGCUUGAGAGAACUCGGGUGAAGGAACUAGGCAAAAUGGUGCCGUAACUUCGGGAGAAGGCACGCUGAUAUGUAGGUGAAGUCCCUCGCGGAUGGAGCUGAAAUCAGUCGAAGAUACCAGCUGGCUGCAACUGUUUAUUAAAAACACAGCACUGUGCAAACACGAAAGUGGACGUAUACGGUGUGACGCCUGCCCGGUGC
rnacentral:rRNA from 1 species